UAGGGGUUGAAUCACAGCUGCAGCUGCUGCCCUGCGCCAAAGCCAUGGCAACACCGGAUCUGAGCCACAUUUGUGACCUAUGCUGCAGCUUGCAGCAAUGCCAGAUCCUUAACCCACUGAGCAAGGCCAGGGAUCGAAUCUGCAUCCUCAUAGACACUAUGUUGGGUUCUUAACCUGCUGAGCCACAAUGGGAACUCCUAACCACAUAAUUUUUAUUUUAUAUUUAUUUGAAGCUCCUUCAUAGAUUUAUUUAGGCAUAGCCUUUUAUUUUAUAUCACUCUGGAUCAUACACAAAAGGGAAAUAUAAAUGAAAGCAAUUAGUUAAGGAAUUCCUAAAUUCUCUUUGUAUUCACAGGCUAACUUCUCUAAUAAACUUUGCAACUCAGAGUCAUCAAUGAGUAUUUUUCCACAGGCAGUGGUGAUGUAACAUUUCCUAAAGUUGUGCUCCUGAAUUCACUUGUUUCCUGAAUAUUCCAAUUCAUCAAGUUUUGAUGCUUGCAUUUUGUGGCUUUGCAUGUAAUUUUAAUUCUUAUUCAAAUAUUUCAGGAGUUCCCGUUGUGGCUCAGUGGUUAAAGAAUACGACUAGGAAUGAUGAGGUUGCGGUCGGAUUCGUUAACCACUGCGCCACGACGGGAACUCCUCCCAAAUGAACCUUUUGACAGAAAUUAAAACCAUGGACAUGGAGAACAGACUUGUGGUUGUCAAAGGGGAAGGGGAGGGAAUGGGAUGGACUGGGAGUCUGGGGUUAAUAGAUGCAAACUAUUGCAUUUGGAGUUGAUAAGCAUGAGACCCUGCUGAAUAGUACAGGGAACUGUAUCUAGUCACUUAUGAUGGAGGAUAAUGUGGGAAAAAGAAUGUAUACAUGUAUGCGUGACUUUGCUGUACAAUAGACUUUGGUCACUUUGCUGUACAAUAGAAAAUUAAUACUGAACAGGCUAUGAUGGAAAAAAUAAAAAUCAUUACAAAAAAUAAUGGGUAGUGCACCCACUCCUGGGCAUAUAUCUGGACAAAACUUUCCUUGAAAAAGAUACAUGCACCCCUAUGUUCACUGUAGCUCUAUUCACACUAGCCAAGACAUGGAGACAACUUAAAUGUCCAUUGACAGAUGAAUGGAUUAAGAAAAUGUGGCACACAUCCACAAUGGAAUACUAGUCAGCCUUAAAAAUAACAAAAUAAUGCUAUUUUCAGCAACAUGGAUAGAACUAGACUCUCGUACUAAGUGAAGUCAGUCAGAAAGACAAAGACAAAUACCACAUCACAUCACUUAUAUCUAGAAUCUAAUAUAUAUUACUGCAUCACCAAACAGUCAGAAGAAAGCCACAUACUCUGCUGUCCUCACUCUAUAUGUUGCCUAUAAAAGCCUUUCCCCAAAAAACAAACUAUUGGGAAGUUCAGGUUUUUUGGAACAUGAGCCACCUGUUCUCCUUUCUUGGCCUUGCAAUUUAACCUUUCUCAGCCCUGAACUCUGAUGUGUUGCCUUGUUUGGCCUCACUGUGCCUCGGGCACAUGAACUUGUGGUCACUAACAGAAGCACCUGCCAUCCCUGCCUUUCUGUCCCCUUCUUGGAGUGUGUCUUGGGAAGAUAAUAAGCUCCGGGAGUUCCUGUUGUGGUGCUGCAGAAAUGAAUCUGACUAGUAUCCAUGAGGGUGUGCGUUGGAUCCCUGGCCUUGCUCAUAUUGCUACAAAGUAACCAUAUUAGAAAAAGAAAAAAAAAUAACCAGAUUGGACCCCAAAUGGAGUCACUCAUGCAAAGCCCACAUUAGCAAACCAAAACUUAAUGGAGUUUUUAUACUCAGCUCUCCCAGAGAUGGAAGGCCCAUGCCAACCAGUUAGCACUUGCUGCCCACCUCAGAGCACCUGAUGGCUCCAAGCCUUCCCUCUGCUCCGUGUGAAGGGGGUAAUCCUGCUUUAACCAAUCAGCACACACCCAGAAUAACGUCCUUGUCUUGCUCACUUUGGUCUAUAAAAGUAUCUUGCCUGGUACAUCUCUUUGGAACGCUUUUCUCUUUGCUAGAUUGGAUGCUGCCCAAUUCAUGAAUCGCUGAAUAAAGCCAAUUUGAUCUUAAAAAUUUACUAGGUUGAAAUUUGUUCUUUAAUAGUACAGAGGGCUGUUUGUUGGCAGAUCUGUUUUAUUUUCCCUAAACUCUUCAAAAAUUCCUCAAAUUCAAUGAGCUCAAACCAGAAUUCACCAACUUCCUGCUUCUUUUCACCUAGGCAUCCUCUUAAACCUAAGUAUGACAAAAAAAAAAGAAAAAAAAAAAAAUCCCAUGAGUAGGCACCAAAGGUAAAAACUCAUUUCAACCAUGGCCUGCUGCCUCCUUUAUUCAUUCCACAAAUAUUUACUGAGCACAUUUUCUGUGCUGGACACUGUUCUGGGUACUGGGGGACAGAGCAUUGAACAAAACAAAGCCUCCUGGAAUUUACCUUCUGUUGGGGGAAAAGACCAUAAACAAAUAGUUCAUUUAGUACCAGGUAGAGUGUGAUAAGUGUAUGAAAUUGCAUGGGAGCAAAAUUUUCCACUCCAAAAUGUCUCUCUUUGGCAUGAGGAUUAUUUUAGGGUGAUUAUUUUUAAGAAACAGAAGACUCAGGAAGUCUUUUUACCUCCCUCCUUAACUGUCUGAAGAAUUUUGAUAAAAUCCUGUUCUAGAAGAGAGCUAUCACCAGAGAUGUCUGCAAAGAAUGUGGUCUAGUUGUGGUGGGGAAACUUAGCAGGACCCAGAGAUCAGAGUCCACGCUGCAUCCCACUGUCUCUGUCCAGCAUUCAUUCACCAAACAUUUGCUUUUCAAUCUCCUUGUGAAUUGCUUUUCCUCCAUUUGAAAUCCCAAACCACUAUCUGCAGCACUCUCUUUUGUUUUUAGCUGAAGGUGGUAUUUAAAGUGAGGGCUUUGGCCAUUUGGGUGAGUUCCUUUUCUCUGGGCGCUCCCAUGUAUACAUGUUAGUAACCUUUUUUAUUUUUUAAAUUUUCCUGUUAAUUUGUCUCAUGUCAAUUUAAUUUUUACACCAGCCAGAAGAACAUAGGAGGGUAGAGGGAAGAUUCUUCCUCCCCGAACAAAGUAAAAUAAAGCAGGUGGAGAAAGGCAGAGAGUAACAGUGUGGUGGCUAGAACUGGCUCCACUGGUGACACCUGAUCAGAAACCUGAAUGCAGUGAAGAAGUGAAACAGACAAAUAUUUUGAACAUGGUUGUAGCUCAAUGAGGCAAAGGAGAAGUGGUGGGUAAGGAAGUUCAAGAGAUAGACAUGGCCAGUCUCCCUAGGAAAUGCAGGCUGUCCAGGACUUGGAUUUCAAUACAUUUAUGCUGGGAAGCCACCAGAGACUUUGUGCAGGGGAAUAAGAUGAUGUGAUACAGAUUUGAAAAGGCUUCCUGAAUCUCUUCUUCCUGCAACCAGAUGGUCCCCUGCCAUUCUUUCUCCCUCUUCCUUCUCUGCCCCCUCCUAUUUUUUCUUCUUUUUUUGGGGGGAGGUGGGGGGGAGGGCUGUGUUCCGAGGCAUAUGGAGUUCCAGGGCCAGGAUCAGAUUCAAGCCAGUUGCAACCCAAGCCACAGCUGGGGCAAUUCCAGAUUCUUAACCCACAGUACACAACCUGGGACUGAACCUGCAUCCCAGGGCUCCUAAGAUACCACCAAUCACAUUGUGCUACAGAGGGAACUCCCUUUAUUUCUUCUUAAUAAAAAGAGCUCUCCUCAAUGUUUGUUUUUCUUUUUUCUUUGCCACAGCUGUGACAAGUGGAAAUUCCUGGGCCAGGGACUGAACCCACGCUACAGCAGUGACCCACGCCACUACAGUGACAAUGCUGGAUCCU
rnacentral:lncRNA from 1 species